GACUGCAUGGGGGAGGGAGAGGGCAGAAGGAAGAAGGAGGAUCCCGCGGCCCCCCUGGGGUUCAUGGGGACCCCCAGGGAGCUGACGUCAGAGCUGCUGCAGUCCCACCUCACUAUGAGCAUUUGCCCCAGGGACAGCUGAAGCCGUCUUUGGAUGCUAAAACGAAUUUAGAAUUUGUGGUUGGGUGGGAAUGGAGGUGGAGACGGGGACUAGGUACAGACUACCCAGGAGGUAAUAGGCAGGUAGGAACUGAAACCCAGGCUAUAUUGUUCCCAUAUGGGAAAAUUAUAGGUGCCGUCCUCACUUUGUGGGACACCGAUGUUAAAUAGAGUUGGGGGCGGGGUAGAGAGCUAGGUAGCUUAUUAAGUCUGCAAAAUUGAGCUGUGUCCAAUGAGGAAAGGUUUCAUUACAAUUGCUAAGUUUUAGGAUGAGAAGCCCUCUGAACCUAGAACCUUUGUGAGAAGCUGAGUUCCAGCUGCCCUUGGGAUGUGGGAUUGUGGGGGCAUUAAAGACUCCACUAUAAACCUUUUGGUUAGGGUUGUACAAGGGUGGUGACCCAUCCUGCCCUUCCAUUGCCUUCAGUGUCAAGUGUGGCCUAGCCAGUAUGGGCUAAACAAAGAAAGGUUUUGCUUUACCUAAUGGCUACCUUCUUUGGCUGUCUUCAUGGUGGUGGGAAGCUAGAGGAGGUGAGAUUCCGAGGUAGUCGAGGUAAUUGGGUGAGCCCUACAAACAGGACAGUGGACUUUUGUUCCCUUAUGGUCCCAAGUGGCUCUAAGAUUCAUGAAGUAGAAAAUUGAGCAGUCUCACCAAGGACCAUUCUGUGGUUCUAGCUGGUAUUUUCUCAUACAAUUUUUGGUCAUCAUAGGCACCUGGUCCCAUCUCUGACAACCCACACAUUCUGGGCAUAAAGCAAGAUAUUGUGGCUCUUGAGGAAAAUGAGUUCUCGGAAAGCUCCAAAUAGCAAAAUUGUUACUUGAGGGCUGAUUCUGUGGAGUCCUACAAAAGCAGAAGAACAAUUUCUACACUCAUGCUGGCUCCCACUUCAAACAAGCCUUUCCAGUUCUUCAGAAGUAGAGCCAGUCAGCCAUCUCCUUACUAAAGACAGAAGAAGGACCAAUGAAUAAAACAUGGUUCAACAGCUCAUACAUAAUCAGCUGGAGAAGUUAAAACUAUUGCUGUUUGAAAAAAAAAAAAAGCAAAACCCACAACAUAACCAAAACUCUGUCUGUUGAUGAAAAAAUUUCUCAGCCUUUCCCUCCAAAGUAUGACUGCAGACUUCACUUUAACUUGAAGUGGCCCUGAUGUUACUCUAUUAAGUAGAUAACAAUUCAUGCCUACAACUAGGGCUUGCCAUAGAGAGUCGUUUACCCAGUAGCGGGUGAAGGCCUGUGAGUGAAAAAUAUCUCUGGAAUUGCCUGUUGCUGUUGAUUGGGGAUUCAUGGAUUCAUUGAUUUAGGUAGAAGAAAGAUGGAGGGAAAGAAUUUGGAACUGAAAAUAA